CAGGCAAGCUUUCCCUCUCAGGUCUUUAACUGCUCCCUCUCAGGGUCUUUAACUAGCUUUCCCUCUCAGGGUCUUUAACUAGCUUUCCCUCUCAGGGUCUUUAACUAGCUUUCCCUCUCAGGGUCUUUAACUAGCUUCCCUCUCAGGGUCUUUAACUAGCUUCCCCCCUACGGGGUCUUUUAACUAGCUUCCCCUCGGGUCUUUACUAGCUUUCCCUCUCAGGGUCUUUAACUAGCUUCCCUCUCAGGGUCUUUAACUAGCUUCCCCUCCGGGUCUUUAACUAGCUU
rnacentral:lncRNA from 1 species